ACACUCCUGCGGGAGGCAGCAGUGGGGAAUUUUGGACAAUGGGGGCAACCCUGAUCCAGCAAUGCCGCGUGAGUGAAGAAGGCCUUCGGGUUGUAAAGCUCUUUUGUCAGGGAAGAAACGGUGGUGGCGAAUAACUACUACUAAUGACGGUACCUGAAGAAUAAGCACCGGCUAACUACGUGCCAGCAGCCGCGGUAAUACGUAGGGUGCAAGCGUUAAUCGGAAUUACUGGGCGUAAAGCGUGCGCAGGCGGUUGUGUAAGUCAGAUGUGAAAUCCCCGGGCUCAACCUGGGAAUUGCAUUUGAGACUGCACGGCUAGAGUGUGUCAGAGGGGGGUAGAAUUCCACGUGUAGCAGUGAAAUGCGUAGAUAUGUGGAGGAAUACCGAUGGCGAAGGCAGCACCCUGGGAUAACACUGACGCUCAUGCACGAAAGCGUGGGGAGCAAACAGGAUUAGAAACCCCAGUAGUCCC
rnacentral:rRNA from 1 species